UACGUAGGGUCCGAGCGUUGUCCGGAAUUACUGGGCGUAAAGAGCUCGUAGGUGGUUUGUCGCGUUGUUCGUGAAAACUCACAACUCAAUUUGUGGGCGUGCGGGCGAUACGGGCAGACUGGAGUACUGCAGGGGAGACUGGAAUUCCUGGUGUAGCGGUGAAAUGCGCAGAUAUCAGGAGGAACACCGAUGGCGAAGGCAGGUCUCUGGGCAUUAACUGACGCUGAGGAGCGAAAGCAUGGGGAGCGAACAGG
rnacentral:rRNA from 1 species